AUUUUUUCAUUUUUAUUUUCUCUUUACUGUAGAUUUUUUUUUUAGGACUGAACAGCAGCUGGUGCUGCCCUAAAAGCUUUAAGAGCCUCGCGCCUUCCGCACGGCGGGUAUAAAAAAUCAACUAAUUUUCAUUUUAUGCUGCACCAGAAACAAUUUUAAUUCAAGUGCGCCGCCAGACGCACGAACACAGCGCCACUAACAGCCUCUAAAAUUUUAAUAGCUCACACAUUAUAAACGCAAAUAAACGCCUCCGCCGGCAUUCCUUUGAGCACUUUCGUCCUUUCGUCCUGCUGCCACUUCGCAUUUCGAUGUACAUUUGCCUAGCAGCAGCUUAGGUUGUUUGUGGCAUGUGCACUUAGGGAUGGCAGCACAAUUGAAAGGGGCGGAGGAUGUGGGAGAGCUAGAAGGAAGGAAAGUUUUCCGACUUUCCCAGCGUCCAGCGCUCACUUUGGGGGAAUUUCCCAUACACUUGCGUCCCGCCUGCAACUUAAAGGCACUAAAGUUGCACAGAAUUAAGCAUACUUCCAGGCACUCAGCGGCAUAUUAUGUUUAUCAUUAUGUUUAUACUAUGGCUGUAUAUAUGGGGCCUAAUGUUGCCGCUUUCUUGGCCAACGCCAGCUGUUGCCCGGAAAAGUUCAUCUCGGCCCUAAGUUCCGUCGGCUUUAUUUGAUUCUCAUUUAAUUUCGCACACCCACCGGGUGGCCCUUAAAAAUUGGCAUAACAAUUACGCCGGAAAUAGGCAAUGACAGUGGAGUUUCUACCGUUACGGGGUGGCCUGGAAAUGCCGGACUCUGAAGGGACUCCCUUCUCGGAAUGCGACUAUUUGCUAUCUGCAGAGCGCUAACAAUGGUCUGCCUCAAUGGCACGUAAUUGCAGUGCACACAGUCGCAGCAGGCACAGUGGCACGAAAUCGUAAAAUUAGGACUAAAAAUAAUGAUUAACAAGCUAGAAACCAAAGAAACGGUUUAAUUACCAGGUCCCGAAAACGUAGCAGUCCCACUGUAACCCCAACUAUUGUACGGCACUGCAACAUAUCCUUGCAACUAACGCUUCCGUUUCCGUGCGUCAAGGAGACGGCUGCCGCCAACCCCCUGCUCCAUCAUCACCACCAUUGCGUUUUCUCCUCGACUUGCCACCGAUGUUGUUGCAGUCUUCUGCAGGAUGCCUCUUCAGGCCGCCUUUGUUGUCGCUUGCCGUGUGAAUGAGUGCAAUUAGCAGAGCCACUUGCUCUCGACGAUGCCGUUUUUGUUUGUGUCCGGCUCUGUUGCUGAUCUGUCGAGCGACUUGCAUUAAAAAUUAAUUGUCCCCUGUCUCCUGUCUGUGUGUGCACUGUACAGUGUUCAAUGUAGAUGUCAAUGUUUCGGGUCGUGAUUGCGCAGCACAAAUGUCGAUUAUGCGAGAAAAUUGUUGAGCACUAAGCGGACACGGCGCCCGGAAAGUUAUUGAAACAUUUGUGAACGCCAUUAGAUGUUUGCGAUUCUGUUUGUGCUCGAACAUGGCAUAAAUACAUAAAUAUAUGGAAAUGAAAUGCGUAAAAAUAUUCCACUUAAGUCCACUGUUUGCCUUUAAGAAGGAUUAGCGGACCUUGUCGGUAUUUCCUGCAUUGGGAUUUCUUGGGGCUGAGCAAUUUUUGAUUAAAAUUACAUUCAUUGCGGCCUUUGAAGUGUUGGGAUUCGCCAACGGACGUCUGUAACCUAAAUUUCUCGUCCGGUUUGGGUCAAUAUUUUGCCAGCUUAGGCAACGCACGUGAGCCGGACCAAAAAGGACUCUUGGAUGGAAAAUCCCCUGACCAAAAUGUGGGGAUGAUCACGUUCACGUUGCCGCCACGUCCCUCUCAGCGGGAUUUCGUACCUUUUUGUGGACUCUGGACUCUUUGGGCCAGCAUAAUUUGCCAGCACUGGCCACGUUAAGGAGGUCCGGUUUGCGUCCUGAUGGAUUGUUUGACUAAUUAAUUUUGCUAGAGAAUUUUACAAAAUUGCAUUGGGCC
rnacentral:sRNA from 1 species